AUGAUUCCUGCAGUCUUUGGAUCCAAUCCUCCUUCCAUUCGUGUGGAGAUUCCCAGCUUCAAGACAUUGAUGAUGACCAACUCUGAUGUGAAAGCUAGAUGCUUCAUCCACAAUGUUGAUGCUAAGCUGGUCUGGCUGAUGGACGGGGAACAACCAUCCACUGACAGAGUGAAUGAAUUCUCAAACAAAACCACUUUAAUCAGUGAACUGACAGUUCCAUCCAGCAGCUGGAAAAACCUGAAACUUCUGAAAUGUAAAGUUCAGCAUCACUGCUUUACUGCUGAGAAGACUGUAGAGAUUUCAGCCUCAGUGACCCACAGUGAACCAUCAGCCGUCCUGCUCCAGGGUUCAAAUGAACUUGUGUGUCUGGUCUUUGGCUUCAGCCCUGCAUCCAUUAACAUCACCUGGAUUGCUGAUGGAAGCACAGAGCUGUGGAACUACAAUAAUAGUCAUCCCCACAGAGGCCCGGAUGGAAAGUUCAGCAUCCAAAGCUUCCUCCGUCUGUCUCCAGUUGACUCCUUACCCGGGGUGACCAUCACCUGCAGGGUGACACAUGGAAACACCACUCUGUCUGUGAAUGUCUCCAAAACAGACACGUUGGAACUCUGUCAUUUCUUUGAUGACAUCCUGCAUGCUGAUGUGAGCCAAGACACAGUCAUGCAAGCUUGGGGCAUGGCUAUUUUCUUCCUCCUUUUAUUCUUCAUCUCCAUCAUCUUUUCUGCUGUCACCACAGCUUUAAAGAUCAAAUGAACAUGUGAAAGAGACAGAUCUCUUUUUCUGCAAGCAUCUCCAGAUUUUUGAUGACAUUUGACCUGUUUUCAUUCAGUUUUAAAGAGUUUAUAUCGUAUAUGUCUAUUUUU